rnacentral:rRNA from 1 species
GAUGAACGCUGGCGGCGUGCCUAAUACAUGCAAGUCGAGCGAACGGACGAGAAGCUUGCUUCUCUGAUGUUAGCGGCGGACGGGUGAGUAACACGUGGAUAACCCACCUAUAAGACUGGGAUAACUUCGGGAAACCGGAGCUAAUACCGGAUAAUAUUUUGAACCGCAUGGUUCAAAAGUGAAAGACGGUCUUGCUGUCACUUAUAGAUGGAUCCGCGCUGCAUUAGCUAGUUGGUAAGGUAACGGCUUACCAAGGCAACGAUGCAUAGCCGACCUGAGAGGGUGAUCGGCCACACUGGAACUGAGACACGGUCCAGACUCCUACGGGAGGCAGCAGUAGGGAAUCUUCCGCAAUGGGCGAAAGCCUGACGGAGCAACGCCGCGUGAGUGAUGAAGGUCUUCGGAUCGUAAAACUCUGUUAGUAGGGAAGAACAUAUGUGUAAGUAACUGUGCACAUCUUGACGGUACCUAAUCAGAAAGCCACGGCUAACUACGUG